AUUGUUUGUUUUCAUCCUCUCGUACUAUUUACUCUUCGUUACCUUGUUGAGCCGUUAGCUCACUAACUCGCUGAUAGGCCGCGAGGUUGUUGAAGGCCCUAGGGUCGUAAACUCCUGUCAUAUAAGAGUAAGACAUACCUGGUUAAUAGCCUGAGUAUGUUUGAUAGUAUUAUAAGAGGAAGGGACGGCUAACUUCGUGCCAGCAGCCGCGGUAAUACGAAGGUCCCGAGCGUUAUUCGGAAUCACUGGGCGUAAAGAGUACGUAGGCGGUCUGGUAAGUCAGGUGUGAAAUCCCGGAGCUCAACUCCGGAACUGCAUCCGAUACUGCCAGACUAGAGUAAUGGAGGGGCAGGUGGAAUUCUCGGUGUAGCAGUGAAAUGCGUGGAUAUCGAGAGGAAGACCAAUGGCGAAGGCAGCCUGCUGGACAUUUACUGACGCUGAGGUACGAAGGCUAGGGUAGCGAAAGGGAUUAGAUACCCCUGUAGUCCUAGCAGUAAACGGUGCGCGCUUGGGGUAGGACGACUCGACCCCUUCUGUGCCGGAGCUAACGCGUUAAGCGCGCCGCCUGGGGAGUACGGUCGCAAGACUAAAACUCAAAGAAAUUGACGGGGACCCGCACAAGCGGUGGAGUAUGUGGCUUAAUUCGAUGCAACGCGAAGAACCUUACCAAGGCUUGACAUGUAUUGCUAAGCACGUGAAAGCGUGUGACCCUUCGGGGACCUUACACAGGUGCUGCAUGGCCGUCGUCAGCUCGUGUCGUGAGAUGUUUGGUUAAGUCCAGCAACGAGCGCAACCCCUGUGAAUAGUUGCCAGCACGUAAUGGUGGGGACUCUAUUCAGACUGCCCGGGUCAACCGGGAGGAAGGUGGGGAUGACGUCAGGUCAGUAUGGCCCUUACGCCUUGGGCUGCACACGUACUACAAUGCCCAGUACAAUGAGAACCGAUCCCGCGAGGAGGAGGAAAUCUGCAAAACUGGGCCCAGUUCGGAUUGGAGGCUGCAACUCGCCUCCAUGAAGUUGGAAUCGCUAGUAAUGGCACAUCAGCUACGGUGCCGUGAAUACGUUCCCGGGUCUUGUACACACCGACCGUCACAUCAUGGAAUUCGGUCGCACCCGAAGUAUCUGCGCUAACUAUUUAUAGAAGCAAGGUCCUAAGGUGUAGCUGGUAACUGGGAUGAAGUCGUAACAAGGUAGCCGUAGGGGAACCUGCGGCUG
rnacentral:rRNA from 1 species